UUGUUUAUUCAUUAAAGCAGCGGUUUUUGCCAGUGCAAUUUAAUAGUUUCUUGCCUUUUAAUUUAUUUUUGUUAUUUUAGGCCUGAAGCCGCCGAAUAGCAAGAAGUCGGCAGCGUAAACUGCCGUCGACCGUCGUCAAGUACGCCGGAGCCAAUUACGGGGCAGUCAUGGAAGAUGCUCCAAUUCCCAGAGGUGAUAAGCUCAUAUUGAGAGGCUUGAAGUUUCACGGUUUUCAUGGGGUGAAACCUGAAGAAAGAAAGCUGGGACAGAAGUUUUUGGUAGAUGUUGAUGCUUGGAUGGAUCUCCACCCGGCUGGUUUAUCUGAUCGCUUGGCCGAUACCAUUAGUUAUACUGAAAUUUAUGACAUGGUAAAGGAAGUUAUAGAAGGAAAACCUCAUAAUCUUCUUGAGUCAGUUGCUCAACACAUUGCAUCAACCACUCUAACAACAUACCCUCAAAUUUCUGCUGUUCGCGUGACGGUUGGGAAACCUCAUGUUUGUGUUCAGGGUCCUCUUGAUUAUUUGGGUGUUGAGAUUCUCAGAUACAGAAGAGUUGGGAUGGAAGAUGCUGCCAUUCCGAAGGGUGAUAAGCUCAUAUUGAGAGGCUUAAAGUUUCACGGUUUUCAUGGGGUGAAACCUGAAGAAAGAAAGCUGGGCCAGAAGUUUUUGGUAGAUGUUGAUGCUUGGAUGGAUCUCCACCCAGCUGGUUUAUCUGACCGAUUGUCCGAUACCAUUAGUUAUACUGAAAUUUAUCGGAUAGUAAAGGAGGUUAUAGAAGGACAACCUCAUAAUCUUCUUGAAUCAGUUGCUCAACUCAUUGCAUCUACCACUCUAACAAGAUAUCCCCAAAUUUCUGCUGUUCGUGUCUUGGUCGGAAAGCCUCAUGUUUCUGUUCAGGGUCCUCUUGAUUGUUUGGGUGUUGAGAUUCACAGAUACAGAAGUAUUCAUAUACCAAAGUAGAUUUUUGUUUCUUUAUUGUUAUUAUUAUUAUUGCAGUAUAUGCAUAAUCUUUGAAUAUGUGCGUUUUUUUGUUUCUACUUAUGAUAGUUUUCGGGGAACAUAAUAAUUUGAUUCCGAUCUUAUUAUGUUGAUAGCUCUCUCUCUCUCUCUCUCUGUGGAAUAUGAACUAUUGUAAUUCACUGCAACCAUAUUCUUUUACUUUCACAUUGGGUGGGUGCAAGUUAGAAUUUAAAUUCAUGUUUUUGAACAAAAGCCGUAGAUCAGAAUGUUAAAACUUCCAUUAAAACUGUAAUUCCUUGGUAUUGAGACUGCUGCUGAAUCGAAAGCUAUAUGUACUCUUAACAGGGCGUUUGGGGCUGACAUGCUCUGCUACUUUGCGUGAUGCUGACUUGUGCAGUAAAACCCAGCAGUACUCUUGUAGUGCCCAAUGGAAUAGAAUGCAAAGGCUUCCAAUUAUCAUCAAAACAGUUCCCUUGAAUGAGCAAAUUAAGCAUAUUGGAAGAUAGGUCAUGACCUCAAAAGGGAAUUGAAUCCCCUUUUUUGUACCCAUAAAAGGAAAAAAGUACUUGUUUCGCCCAAGGUACUGAUAGAUCACUGAAUGCUAAGGUUAUGUACAAUUCUCAGAUUUGCUACUUUUUGUAUUUUAAUUCAGAUGAAUUUUCCGUUGUACUUAUGCUCUGAUGCAAAACAAAAACAAAGUAAAAGUCCGCUUGAAUUUUCCUA